rnacentral:tRNA from 1 species
GCUAUUUUUACGUACACAAAAAUCAGCAUUUGAUAUAACCGAAAAAUCGCGUAUAAUUCGGCUCCGAUAAUUUAUAU